GACGAACGCUGGCGGCGUGCCUAAUACAUGCAAGUAGAACGCUGAAGAGAGGAGCUUGCUCUUCUUGGAUGAGUUGCGAACGGGUGAGUAACGCGUAGGUAACCUGCCUGGUAGCGGGGGAUAACUAUUGGAAACGAUAGCUAAUACCGCAUAAAAUUGAUUAUUGCAUGAUAAUUAAUUGAAAGAUGCAACUGCAUCACUACCAGAUGGACCUGCGUUGUAUUAGCUAGUUGGUGAGGUAACGGCUCACCAAGGCGACGAUACAUAGCCGACCUGAGAGGGUGAUCGGCCACACUGGGACUGAGACACGGCCCAGACUCCUACGGGAGGCAGCAGUAGGGAAUCUUCGGCAAUGGGGGGAACCCUGACCGAGCAACGCCGCGUGAGUGAAGAAGGGUUUCGGAUCGUAAAGCUCUGUUGUAAGAGAGGAACGGGUGUGAGAGUGGAAAGUUCACACUGUGACGGUAUCUUACCAGAAAGAGACGGCUAACUACGUG
rnacentral:rRNA from 1 species